UUCAAUUGUUUUAAAGGAAGGAUAAGAGACAAAUCUUUAAUUCCUGUAAUCGAUAAAAAAAAUUGACCCCUUUCACUCUUAUUCAAUCCUUAAAAUAAAAAAAUACUUCUUUUCCCUCAAAUACGACAACCAAAUUCAAUUCAAUUACAACUAAAUUCUCUUUUUCUUUGCUUAGGAUUAAAUUUAGAAUCAGGUUUCUUUAAUUCGCGAUUCGAAAAACAUCGACAGCAUCCCACAAAGAUUUGAAAUUUUUAAGAGUGGUUUUGCUAAGAUUGUGACAAGGAAUACAGUGUCUUUAGGUGGAGUUCUGGAUCUGUGUUUUGCUGACCCUCUUUGGAUGGCUACCUGGUAUACAUGCGGUUUGGGUCCUCACCAAGUGAUCUACCCAUAGUAAAUUUUCUCAAUUUCAGGUGGAUAGGAAAGAUCAGAAGGGUCAGAAGUGGAUUCGCCCUGCUACGUUGGAGAAUGAACUAGCGGAGAAUUAUGAGGGUCAAGGAUUUCCUACUAUUUAUUUUCUUGUUGAUGGUAAACAUGUGACUUACAAUGGACAAAGAACUAAGUGAGUUUUCUUCUUAUUUAGUGUUUUGUAUGUUCAUUUGAGCUCGACUAAUUUGGAUUCACGCAUUUGUAAGGUGCAUUUCUUUGAUUUUUAUUGAUAUUUGUCGUUUUUGUACUUCAAUUUUAGUAUUAUUUGGUUCGG